rnacentral:rRNA from 1 species
GAUGAACGCUGACAGAAUGCUUAACACAUGCAAGUCUUUGGCGAAGCUGUGCUUGCACAGCCUAGCCAAGGCGGACGGGUGAGUAACGCGUAAGGAACUUGCCCUGCAGUCAGGGAUAACAGACGGAAACGACUGAUAAGACCUGGUAAAGUCAGGCGGACUCAUGUCCAGCCUGAUGAAAAGAGAUGCUGCAGGAGAGCCUUGCGUCCUAUUAGCUUGUUGGUGGGGUAACGGCCCACCAAGGCGAUGAUUGGUAGCCGGCCUGAGAGGGUGGACGGCCACAAGGGGACUGAGAUACGGCCCUUACUCCUACGGGAGGCAGCAGUGGGGAAUAUUGGACGAUGGGGGCAACCCUGAUCCAGCAAUUCUGUGUGCACGAUGAAGGUUUUCGGAUUGUAAAGGGCUUUCAGCAGGGAAGAAAAAAAUGACGGUACCUGCAGAAGAAGCGACGGCUAAAUACGUG